UCCCGUUUUCAGUUCAGUGGUUUGAAGCUGGCAUUCACCUAUGUAUUUGCCAUAUUCUGGCUGUGUCUCUCAGGACAUCUACAUCCGGUACCUGUCAGCCUGCACUUCUUUGCUUCAUCCAUCUGAAAAGUUUGGUGGCUGUGGACAUAUGGGAUACAUGUGGGUCAAGAUCUGAAUGGGCGAUCCUUCAGCCUCUGUUCUAAACUUUGACUUCCUAUUCCCUCCCAAGCGUAUUCUUGUUCCCCUUUAAAAGAAGGACUGAAGCAUUCAUAUUUUGGUCAUACUUCUUGAGUUUCAUGUGUUCUGUGCAUCUAGGGUAAUUAGAGCAUUUGAGCUAAUAUACACUUAUCAAUGAAUGCACACAUUUGUGUUUUUCUGUGAUUGAAUUACCUCACUCAGGAUGAUAUUUUUCAGUGCCAUCCAUUUGCCUAUGAAUUCCAUAGAGUCAUUGUUUUUGAUAGCAGCGUAGCAUUCCAUUGUGUAAAUGUAC
rnacentral:lncRNA from 1 species